AGACUGGGUAAUUUAUAAAGAAAAGAGGUUUAAUUUGGCUCACAGUUCUGCAAGCUGUAUAGUAAGUGUGGGGCUGACAUCUGCUUCAGGUGAGGGCCUGAGGAAGCUUACAAUCAUAGUGGAAGGUAAAGGGAAAGCAGAUGAAUUGUAUGGUGAGAGAGGAAGCCACAGAGAGAGACAAGGGUGUAGUUCCAGAGUCUUAAGCAAUCAAAUCUCAUGUGAACUAACUGAACAAGAACUGACUUACCACCAAGGGGUGUUAACCAUUCAUGAAGGAUCUGCCCUCAUGAUCCAAUCACCUCCCACCAGGCAAUCACAUUGGGAAUCACAUUUCAACAUGAGAUUUGGAGGGGACAAACAUCCAAACCAUGUCAAGGGAUGGAUCCUCCCUGCCAAGUGCCUUCAAGGGAACCACAUGACAGUUAAAUUUGAUUCAGGCAAGAUGCACCUCUGGGCAAAUUUUAUUGUGAGUUCUACAUGCCAGGAACUCCUACAAUCUGUCAUCUGAGAAAGCUCCAGAAUAUUGAGACAGGAGCCAAGCUCUGCCCUGUAAGCCAGGCUUUGCACUCAAACUGGAACUACACCAUUGCUCUUCUGGGUCUCUAUCUUGCUGGCUACAGAUCUUGCACCUCCCAGUCUCCACACUUGUCAUGGUCACUCAGCCUGGAAGCAAUGACUCUGAGUGUCUAAGACAAGAGAUGGAGUCUCUCUAUGUUGUCCAGGCUGGCCUCAAACUCCUAAUCUCAAACAACCCCUCCCAUCUCAGCUGCUCCUCAUGAGUAGCUGUAACUACACGCACGUUCCACCAUGCCUGGCUUUAAAUGGUUAGUAACGAGGUACAAAUAUGUAAGCUUGUGUUGACCGUUAAUGAACUGUGUUGCUUACUCCGGUGCAUGUGUGGGAAAUACUUAUAAACCUCAAAUGUCUUUAAUUUAGCCUAGAUUAAAAUUAAAUUUAAGUAGACUUUCCAACAAAUGGCAUUGGAGCAGUUGGACACAAAAGCAUAAAACAAAAAUCCCAACUCAACCUAAGUCUCAUGUCUUAUGCAAAAAUUAACUCAACAUGGAUCACAGAUUUAAA